AUCGGUGUUGGAGAACUCCAGCCCUGUUCCUGCGUGAGAUCAGACCUGCUGGAGGAGAAGAAGCAGCUGUGGCUCGGCGUCUGUCAUCGCUUUAAAAAACUUUCCUCCAGUUUGUAGAUCGCUUGACCCAUGCCGGUUUUUGACUAUGAUUCUACCUAUCCUUAUGGAUUUGUCUGGCUGCAUCUCAUUAAAGCUUUUAACUGCACUUGCAUCCGUCUCCACCCUGUUUACACGACGCAUGUGCGUAUCUGGCUUCAACAAAACCCUGCAGCUAAUUUACGACCUUCACAACUAGUUCCAGAAACGAUACAUUAUCCACUGAAGACCUUUCGGGGAAAAGCUUCACUUUCCCAACAUGCAUCACUUCAGGCUGGAGGGAUUACUCAUUAUUCAUACUGUUAUCAAUGCCUUGCAUUUUCUCUAAAACAAAAACAUUGAAAUACGAGGACUCGAGGAAUUUGAUACAACAUGUUUUCAUGUAUUUUUAUUGUUUUACUUUAUAACACACCUCAGCAGGUAAUCGGAAUCCUGAAAGGUGCAUUUCAUGAGACCAGGAUUGCUCUCUAAACAUGCAUUAUAGGAAGGGUUCUUCUUGUUAUGACAACACCAGUUUGUCAAAAGCUUUCUGUUGACAUCCAUUGAUUUCGGCCCAGCUUUGAGUAAUAAAGCUAAGCCUAGGGCUCCGAGUGCCGGAGCUAAACAGGUGCUCACCUUAGUGUUGGACUAUUGCAAGUUUGAAUCCUGAUUGUGGCCUUGGGCAAGACAGCAAAACUGCCCUAAACUCAGGGUAGGAAGGACGGCCUAUUUCCUCCCCUGUCAUGCAGAGUGACACCAGCCAGUUACCAGUGUCUGUUAGCUCAUGUAUAUCGAAUAACUCUGUUAGUGCUCUGCUUGGUGAUGAAAAGAUGUUUUGAUUGGCUUCUCAUAUCUUCCAGGAAGCAAGUUAGCCUUCAUUGUCCCAGAUUUGUAGCUGAUGUGUUGCACCAUAUCAACGGCUAUGUUCACACGCACAUCGAAUUCUGUUCAAGGUCUAUAUUCGCGUAGCCGUUGAUUUUUUAAUCCGUUUAUGUGGAGCGUCCGCCAUACACCCACCUGUGAACGAGCUGUUACUAUAGAAACGCUAAGAUAUCAGAACGAGCGCGUUAAUAUAAACCUGUGAUUUGUCGUCAUUUCAGAUUCUAAUCAACACCUUCUGACCAAUCAGAAUCCCGAAUUCAUCGUGGUACUGUUUUGACAUCUGACUUGACUAAAACUAUUUUGACCAUCAGAGCAUAAAGGUGUACAAAUAAUGACAUCAUAAGACUUGAGCGACAGUGAGAUGUUUUUUUCCCAGAAGGCCAAGGGGUCGGGUGAAAAAUGUGGAGAGAAAUGUAUCAUAUUAGAUGUUUUUUAUUGAUUUUCAUUUUGAUCAUUUCACUGCAGCAAUGAAGAAAAUGUCUGAGGCAUUUUGUCCGGGGAAUCUUGUGUAUUUUUGAUCUCCAUUCCUCAAGAGGCAACACCAGUAAGGACGCUGUAGCUGAACACACUGCGGUGGUCCCACUGAUCUCACACACCACACACAAUGACUGCUACACUAACAUAAUUACACAAAAGCACGGUUUCCUUAGUUAUCAAUGCUUUAUAUUCACCCUCCGGUUCCUGGCAUGCAGACUCGUUGUUAAUGUGUGUGUGUGUGUGUGUGUGUGUGUGUGUGUAGAUCUCACACCUGCCUGCUGUUUCCUCAUAAACCACCCUGGAACCCUGUGCUGGACCGAGCAGGUGAUUUACGACUUUAAUUAGAGAUACCGAAUCUGUCAGGACAGGCUUUAACACAGCACUGUAUAAACCUUUAUGCUGUUUAACACCAUGGCUUCCGCAGUGUUAACGCUCUCAGACCUGCCGCUCUGCCGGGGGACAGAGUUCCACGUUACGUAAGCGUCUUUGCACGAGUUUUGUUUCAUGUAUCAGGCUAAUUAGUACGCAUUUUCUUAUGCCAUUACCCUAUCAAAGUUUGGUUGCCAAGGGUUACUCAAGUAGUUUGAUUUUUUUUUAAAGAACUGGGCGUGGCUGUGAUUAACAGUCUAUCAUUUACAUUCAACCGCUAAGGUGAUGGAGACAAAAAAUGAUGGAGGUGUGUGUUCUUCUGCACAGACAGGAACAAGACGUGGCUUCUGUUAAGGAAGUGCUAGACAUGCAUGCACACACACACACACACACA